rnacentral:rRNA from 1 species
AUGAACGCUAGCUACAGGCUUAACACAUGCAAGUCGAGGGGCAGCAUGGUCUUAGCUUGCUAAGGCCGAUGGCGACCGGCGCACGGGUGAGUAACACGUAUCCAACCUGCCGUCUACUCUUGGACAGCCUUCUGAAAGGAAGAUUAAUACAAGAUGGCAUCAUGAGUCCGCAUGUUCACAUGAUUAAAGGUAUUCCGGUAGACGAUGGGGAUGCGUUCCAUUAGAUAGUAGGCGGGGUAACGGCCCACCUAGUCUUCGAUGGAUAGGGGUUCUGAGAGGAAGGUCCCCCACAUUGGAACUGAGACACGGUCCAAACUCCUACGGGAGGCAGCAGUGAGGAAUAUUGGUCAAUGGGCGAGAGCCUGAACCAGCCAAGUAGCGUGAAGGAUGACUGCCCUAUGGGUUGUAAACUUCUUUUAUAAAGGAAUAAAGUCGGGUAUGGAUACCCGUUUGCAUGUACUUUAUGAAUAAGGAUCGGCUAACUCCGUGCCAGCAGCCGCGGUAAUACGGAGGAUCCGAGCGUUAUCCGGAUUUAUUGGGUUUAAAGGGAGCGUAGAUGGAUGUUUAAGUCAGUUGUGAAAGUUUGCGGCUCAACCGUAAAAUUGCAGUUGAUACUGGAUAUCUUGAGUGCAGUUGAGGCAGGCGGAAUUCGUGGUGUAGCGGUGAAAUGCUUAGAUAUCACGAAGAACUCCGAUUGCGAAGGCAGCCUGCUAAGCUGCAACUGACAUUGAGGCUCGAAAGUGUGGGUAUCAAACAGGAUUAGAUACCCUGGUAGUCCACACGGUAAACGAUGAAUACUCGCUGUUUGCGAUAUACUGCAAGCGGCCAAGCGAAAGCGUUAAGUAUUCCACCUGGGGAGUACGCCGGCAACGGUGAAACUCAAAGGAAUUGACGGGGGCCCGCACAAGCGGAGGAACAUGUGGUUUAAUUCGAUGAUACGCGAGGAACCUUACCCGGGCUUAAAUUGCAGAUGAAUUACGGUGAAAGCCGUAAGCCGCAAGGCAUCUGUGAAGGUGCUGCAUGGUUGUCGUCAGCUCGUGCCGUGAGGUGUCGGCUUAAGUGCCAUAACGAGCGCAACCCUUGUUGUCAGUUACUAACAGGUUCCGCUGAGGACUCUGACAAGACUGCCAUCGUAAGAUGUGAGGAAGGUGGGGAUGACGUCAAAUCAACACGGCCCUUACGUCCGGGGCUACACACGUGUUACAAUGGGGGGUACAGAGGGCCGCUACCACGCGAGUGGAUGCCAAUCCCCAAAACCUCUCUCAGUUCGGACUGGAGUCUGCAACCCGACUCCACGAAGCUGGAUUCGCUAGUAAUCGCGCAUCAGCCACGGCGCGGUGAAUACGUUCCCGGGCCUUGUACACACCGCCCGUCAAGCCAUGGGAGCCGGGGGUACCUGAAGUGCGUAACCGCGAGGAGCGCCCUAGGGUAAAACUGGUGACUGGGGCU